GUGGGGAAUCUUCCGCAAUGGACGAAAGUCUGACGGAGCGACGCCGCGUGAGUGAAGAAGGCCUUCGGGUCGUAAAGCUCUGUCAUCAGGGACGAACGGCCGGUGGAGUGGAAAGCCACCGGAUUGACGGUACCUGAGAAGGAAGCCACGGCUAACUACGUGCCAGCAGCCGCGGUAAUACGUAGGUGGCAAGCGUUGUCCGGAAUUAUUGGGCGUAAAGCGCGCGCAGGUGGGAUCUUAAGUCCAUUUUGAAAGUUCGGAGCUCAACUCCGUGAUGGGAUGGAAACUGGGAUUCUUGAGUACCGGAGAGGAAAGCGGAAUUCCCCGUGUAGCGGUGAAAUGCGUAGAUAUGGGGAGGAACACCAGUGGCGAAGGCGGCUUUCUGGACGGUGUCUGACACUGAGGCGCGAAAGCCAGGGGAGCGAACGGGAUUAGAAACCCUGGUAGUCC
rnacentral:rRNA from 1 species